rnacentral:tRNA from 1 species
UCCCCGAUAGCUCAAUGGUAGAGCGGGCGGCUGUUAACCGCUAGGUUCGAGGUUCAAGUCCUCGUCGGGGAGCCA